rnacentral:miRNA from 1 species
CUUCUUCUUCUUCUUCUUCUUCUUCUUCUUCUUGAAAAGAGAUGUGAAGAAGAAGAAGAAGAAGAAGAAGAAGAAGAAG